GAUCAUGGCUCAGGAUGAACGCUAGCGACAGGCUUAACACAUGCAAGUCGAGGGGCAGCGGGGAGUAGCAAUACUUCGCCGGCGACCGGCGCACGGGUGAGUAACACGUGUGCAACCAACCCCGUACCGGGAGAUAACCCGCGGAAACGUGGACUAACAUCCCAUGAUACUCGAGGGCCGCAUGGCUCUCGAUUUAAAAUUCCGGUGGUACGGGACGGGCACGCGCGACAAUUAGGUAGUUGGCGGGGUAACGGCCC
rnacentral:rRNA from 1 species